CCAUUCUACAGGUGAUCAUCAAUUUUCGACCAAAUUAGCAUUUUCUUAUUUUACCUCAGUUGACCUUAACCCAAAAGUUUCAAAAGGUAGAACUUUGGAGUAUGUGACAACUCAUCAAACAAACAAACCAUGGAAGGAAAACUUUACUUUUAACCAAAUACAUACCUGGGCUAUGUUAAGACCGCAGGUCAGUUCUGAUUUAUUCUGACAUUUUUAUCAUGUCAAUGUGAACAAUAUGUUAAUUAGGAUGUCAAUGUUGCCUCUCAAAAAAUAA